CCUACGGGGGGCAGCAGUGGGGAAUAUUGCACAAUGGGCGCAAGCCUGAUGCAGCCAUGCCGCGUGUGUGAAGAAGGCCUUCGGGUUGUAAAGCACUUUCAGCGGGGAGGAAGGCGGUGAGGUUAAUAACCUCAUCGAUUGACGUUACCCGCAGAAGAAGCACCGGCUAACUCCGUGCCAGCAGCCGCGGUAAUACGGAGGGUGCAAGCGUUAAUCGGAAUUACUGGGCGUAAAGCGCACGCAGGCGGUCUGUCAAGUCGGAUGUGAAAUCCCUGGGCUCAACCUGGGAACUGCAUUCGAAACUGGCAGGCUAGAGUCUUGUAGAGGGGGGUAGAAUUCCAGGUGUAGCGGUGAAAUGCGUAGAGAUCUGGAGGAAUACCGGUGGCGAAGGCGGCCCCCUGGACAAAGACUGACGCUCAGGUGCGAAAGCGUGGGGAGCAAACAGGAUUAAAUACCCGGGUAGUC
rnacentral:rRNA from 1 species